rnacentral:rRNA from 1 species
CACGUAGGCACCAAGCGUUGUCCGGAUUUAUUGGGCGUAAAGAGCUCGUAGGCGGUUCGGUAAGUCGGGUGUGAAAACUUUGGGCUCAACCCAAAGCCUGCACCCGAUACUGCUGUGACUUGAGUCCGGUAGGGGAGUGGGGAAUUCCUGGUGUAGCGGUGGAAUGCGCAGAUAUCAGGAGGAACACCGGUGGCGAAGGCGGAUCUCUGGGCCUUACCUGAUGCUGAGGCGCGAAAGCUAGGGGAGCGAACAGG